rnacentral:rRNA from 1 species
GCCAUGCCGCGUGAGUGAAGAAGGCCUUCGGGUUGUAAAGCUCUUUCAGCAGGAACGAAAAGGUAGCGGCUAAUACCCGCUGCCGAUGACGGUACCUGAAGAAGAAGCACCGGCUAACUACGUGCCAGCAGCCGCGGUAAUACGUAGGGUGCGAGCGUUAAUCGGAAUUACUGGGCGUAAAGCGUGCGCAGGCGGUUUCUUAAGCCAGAUGUGAAAGCCCCGGGCUUAACCUGGGAAUUGCGUUUGGAACUGGGAGACUAGAGUGUGGCAGAGGGAGGUAGAAUUCCACGUGUAGCAGUGAAAUGCGUAGAGAUGUGGAGGAAUACCGAUGGCGAAGGCAGCCUCCUGGGCCAACACUGACGCUCAUGCACGAAAGCGUGGGGAGCAAACAGGAUUAGAUACCCUGGUAGUCCACGCCCUAAACGAUGUCAACUGGUUGUUGGAGGAGUUAAAUCCUUUAGUAACGAAGCUAACGCGUGAAGUUGACCGCCUGGGAAGUACGGCCGCAAGGUUA